AGAGGAAGAUCGGCAACAGAUGUUAGCUCAGAGCCAAUCUUCCUCACAAAAAUAAAAGAAAGAAAAAAGAAGCGAUUAUAGUCUAAAAAUUUGGGUAUAUAUCUUCUUAGAACUGUGAAGCUUUCAAAAUUUGGAAAGUUUGUUUUUAGAAGCCAUUUUUAACGUACUGGCUAUUUGGACAUAGUCUGCCUCUUUCUGGUUUGGCGUGGGGCCACGUCUGUCCUCUGGAGGAGGAACAGUGAGGGAGUGGCAGUCAGGCCCAUUGGUCUGUCCAUCUGACAGGAAGACUCCCCUGGGACAGCAGGGCUCUGGCAAGCGAAAGCUUCCUUGCUGUUCUGUGCUUUCCCUUGUGUCUUGUGAUUUUCCUCUUUAGUUAUUUCUGAAACCUUGGAAAUUAGCAACCUGCUGGUGGAAGUGAACGUCGGAGGACCGGCUCCCACUGUGUUAGUUCCCGUGGCACGUGAUGCUGCUGUUUGUGCGCGGGUCCUAUGAGCUGGGUGUCAGGCCGGUGGCUUAUGCGGCGGCCUAAUCUAUUCCUCUCACCUGGAGGUGAAGAGUAUCAUUUCACCCAUUUUGCAGAUAUGGUAAAUGAGGCGAAGACUGGCCUUGUCGUUUGUGUGAGGUCGAGGGCCCCUGGGAGCGGGUCUGGACUUUGGUGCCAGGCACCCAGCUCUGCAUUCGCAGCCAGAACCUCAGUGCCACCUGCCGCAGGUGCCCGGGACUGCUCAGUAGUCGUGCGGAAACCACAGACUGAAAAGUAUAAAAAGGACAGAGAUCCAUAUCCUGUCACCGACAGCAGCAUAGUUAACAUCUAAGAGCAAAUUGCUGCUCCUGUCAGUAGCUCUAUUUUUAGAAGAUUAAAAUAGAACACGAUUCAGUGUAAUCACUGUAUUUUUAGAAAGUGAAGUUUGUGGUGUAUAAAAACGGUUACAAAAGGAAUAAUGAUAAGGUUUAGUUCGUCUUGAUUUGGGGGAAGUUGUAUCUGUAGGGUGUAUCCAUAUUGUGUGUAACAAAAAUGUAACAGUGUUUCCACAGAUUGCACGCCAGCUUUUCAGAGGACCCAGAAAAGCUCAUUUUCUUGGAGGGAGGGUGUGCUGUGGUAUUCUUGAAUCAAAUAAGAAGAUGCAAUUAUCUUGAAUGCACAUUUACACCUUUGAAUAGCUGGCAGCCUUGUGCAGUGGGGAGAGCAUUUUCUAGGCUUUCUCUAGGGAGGUGCCUGUGAGCGCAUAAACCAGGAGACAGUGUGUGGGUCACACUGUGGUCGUAGCUGCACACGACCUCCCUGGGGGACUGGAAAUCUCUGUAAAUCAGCUAAAAGGCUAACAGCUGGGGCAUUUGGGAGGCGUAAUUUGUGUGUCCUCCUCUUGUUUUUAUAAAAAUUAUGUUUUAAAAACUUUGGAAAAUUUAAAAAACAAUGUGCUUUAUGUUAUUAGGUCGUACAAAAAUUAAGGAAAAGAAAACUUCCUGCAGUGGUUUACAGCUUAGGACACAGAAACCAGUCCUCUUGAAAGACCCUCCCUCGCUCUCCCGUCAGCCCUCGGCCUGGUGCUCGGGUGAGCACAUGUGAGCUCAGGACUACAGAAGGACCAGGUGGCUUUGAGGAGGCCCUUUUGUGUGCCCGCUGGAGGUGGAGGGUGCCACACGGGCAGAGGAAGGCCUUUACCCAGUCCCAGAUCCAGCAGCUUCCCCUGGCGUCAUUCACGAGACAAUCUUCUGUUGUCUUCCUUUUGCUGCGAGCCCUAACAGCAGGGCCCUCCUGGAACGUGACAGUCCGGGGUCAGGCUACGGAAAAUGGUCUUUCCAUCCAGUGUACCGGCAGCUAGGUGGAGCGUGGCAGCUUCCAGGGAGGAAGGUCCUUUCCUAGACGCUCAAGGGCUGGAUCCCUUGAGAUCCACUUCUCCUGAGAAAGGUUGAGAUGUCAGGAGAGCUGAACGUCAGGAGUCACUGCUGAGAGGGAGCACUGAAACCAUUGGGACUUCUGGAUGCUUCCACUCAGUGGCCUGCAACUUGGAACAGUAUUGUGAUUGUGAACCUACUGCUCUUGCCCCAAUGUGAGCUUCUAGAGGGAGUCUCAAGCCCAUGGCAGCCCCAAGCCGCAGACGGGGACAGGUAGCCCUGACUGGGCCAUGGGAAUGGUGGGCAGUUCUCGAGUCACAUGGACAUGAGUUUCUGGUCACAUUGGCACUGUCUGCAAGUCGCUGUCACCCCCACUGGUUCCGGCAAGGGAGUGCAGGGUCUCUGGAUGCGUCUCCGGGGCUGGAGGCUGCGUGCUGAGGAUGAAAUGGUGCUAUUACCUGGUCAUCUCCUCUGAGGCCUGUGUCUCUUGAGGGCGGACGCUGUGCCUCAGUCAGCACGGGCCUCCCGGCACCUGAUGCCGUGUCUGGAGCACUCAGCUCCUGACAGUGUUUGUCAGAGAAAUGGAAUUAAACCAGUGUGCUUUAUUUACCCAGAGAACAUCUGUGCGUCACAAUGGGAAACGUGUAGCGACUUCACAGGGUGACAGGUGCUGCAGGCUGCCCAGGGAGAUGCUCCGGAGGCUCAGCAGCAGCGCACCCCGAGGCCAUGCCCCAGCCCAGGGCCGUGUUCUGAAGCACAGAGCUCCCGCUGGGUGCCGUGCUUCAGUGGCGGAAGCUCGUCUGUAGUGGGGCAAGAGAAACGAAACUGCUAGGAAGCGCCCAGCCGGAUAAAUGACACAUACUUCACCACUUGUGUCUAUUUUACUCACUCUCUUUCCUGACACACGAUUUCUGGAUGGAGUGUGUAUCAUUUAACGUUAAACCACCUCCCACUAUUUUUUUUUCCCCAACAACUUAGCUAAAGAAAUUAAUAAAUAUUUCAGAAGAUGCUGCUGGGUCUCUGGAUGGUGGGAGGUAGGACAGCAGUCAAAACAAUGCUGUUAGGGUUGGGGGAGCAGCAUUAGGACUUACAGACUGGCAGCAUGAGUGGAAUAGUCUAGACGAAAAUAUAUAUUAACGUGAAUUUUGAACCAUUGACACAAAUCCUGAUCAUUUUGCUGUUUUGUUGGGGUUUUUUUUGGUGAGAAAGUCAUAAAGCAACUAUCAGAGGAAGUUUUGAAGUUCUGUCUGCUCUUCAAAAGGACGAGUAGGUCUCUUAGAAUUAACAAGGUCAGUAAAACGUGCCUUCUUGGUUUCCACCACUCUCCCCCAAGCAUAAUACCACCUGCCAAUCUUUUUGUUGUCUUUGCACCUUAGCGAAUGGCUUUGCCUUGCAACACCCAAAUCUAGCCCAUCCAAAGUCCUGAUGGAUCAAUAUAGGUCCCAAAUCGGACCACUUCUCCCAGCUCCGUGCCACCCCCGUCCUCUGAGCCCUGGGCCCGAAACCGCCCUGCUCUCAUUCCUGCUUCCAGUGACCCUCUGCUCCCUGGCCCUGGUGGACAUUCCACACGGCACUGAAAUGAGCCUUUAAGGCAAAAGACAGAACUCAAGUCUUCCAGUGGCCUUCAGGACCUGUGGCCUGGCCCUGGCGCCUCCCCGACCCCAUCUCCUCCCGCUCUGCCCUGGUUCCUCGGCUCUGCUGCGUGGAGCCCACCAGGCUUGAUUCACCGCAGGCCUAAACUUCUACUCGCUCGUCUAGGAUGCCCUUCCCUGGGGGAGUUUACACGGCGCCUUCUCACGUGUCAUUUAGGUGUCUCCUCAAAUGUCACCACCUCACAAGGGCCUUUUUUGGUCACUUUAUGUACAGGAACGACCCCCAAUCACAUUCUACCCAUGUGAUUUUUGUUUCCAGCACAUGAUGCCAUGUGAUCUCUUAUGUGUGUGUCAUUUCCUCUUCAUGCGUGGAAGGUUGGGGUGCAUGGACUCAAUAUUGUUGAAGGCUGUAUCCCUUCACACGUUAGAACACGGCAAUGACAAUUGCUCAAUAGCUAGCUCAGUGAAAUUUGUUGAAUGAAUGAAUGAAUGAAUGAUGUGGUAUGGACCCUGUAGCUUGACUGGGUAAGUGUGGAGAGACAGAAUUGCGGUUGGUUCUGACCUUGAUCAAGAUGACCUUCAUGCUCUCUGUCUCUCUCAGUUUCAUCGUCUUUAAAAUGGGGCAGUAAUAGUAUUUAUGCCAUUCGUUUCCCUGUGAGGACUGAAUGAGCUAAUGUGCAUGAAACAGUCCGACGAGUGUCUGACUCAUCAUUAGCGCCCGAUAUAAGUGGGCUGUUAUUUCUAAUUUAGAAUGUAGACUUUAUUGCAUUGUUGUUUAGUUCUGGCAAGAUCUGGUGAGCAUAAUAGUUUAGAAAGAUGAAAUAUGCUUUUAGUGAAUUGAAGUAAAUAUUGUCCUGAAGAGUACUCGGGGAGAAAGUCCUUCAACCCAGGGUGCCUAUUGGCCGUCACUACAGCACGCUGUCAGCAGACAUCUGCCAAGCGGACCACCAGGGCCGCGUGUCCCUUGGGCAGCUGCACUGGGGGUCAGGCCGGCUCCUCCCGGUCCCUACAUGCCUAGCGUGGUGGAGCAUUACCUGAGUCUGCCAGGUGCUGACACUUCUGAAACGUUGCAUUAAGGAAGCAGGGCAAAGAAUCCUUUUUCUCUAAGAACGGGAAAUGCUUUAGGGGCCAGUGUUGCUGGAGAAAGGGGGAGCCAGGCCCCCGGCUCUGUUUUCCAUCUUGCCCAGGCCUCCUGGGGCGCAUUCCCCCUUAAAUGCAAUCCAGCCACGGACUUAGCGCAGGUAACUGCGCAGACUUUCUCUAAACAGCCAUUUUUGGUUUAUUGUUAUGAGUUAGUGACUCAUUACUCAUUAGCUGCUUAUUAAUAUGUACCUAUUUUCUGGCUUCCUGUCACUUAACCACAAACACCUUUCAGCUAAAUUUUAAUGCUCAGCAUUGCGGAAAGUGUUCUGGGAGGAUGCUCAUCCAUUAAGUGGUUUUAGUUGCUGACUCACAUUUUCAGGAGACGAUUUGGCCUGAGUCAGAUUUGGCCUGACGUGGGACCACACAUACGUCCCGUGUUCUGGCAGGACUGUGAGUUGGCGUCACUCAAGUGUGGGAGGAACAUACUUUGUGCUCUGUUCUCGAGGAGGUGUUUUAUUUACUCCCUCCAUCAGUCUACAUCUCCACUUAACAGAUGAGGAGCCUGAGUCUGAGUUUAAGUAACGUGAUUACUAGUGAACCUGUACAUGGGUGGAAGCCAGCCUGUCUGACCCCAGGUACCAGGGGGCCGCGCGACCUCCAGGACACAGCCUCCUCCCUCGCAGGAGUCGCUCUGUCCAGACUCUGAGAAAUCUGCUCAUCUUACUUCCGAGGUUAUUUUCCCCUCCUCCGCCUCUAGGACUCUACAGACAGCUUGGGAAUGACUCAGCCGGUUGCAUCCUCCCCACAGGGCAGAUGGACAUCCUCUCCGGAGCAGAGACGGAUCUGUUUUCAAAGGCAGGCUGGGACAUUUUCUCCUGAUUUUCUAAAUCACUUAUUAACGGUUGAGCUGGGCUGUGCUGCUCGGUGGGGAGCAGCUGAGAGCUGUCCAUCUCGGUGUUGUCUCACUUAGGGAGCAAGGAGAAGGACCAGACCAGUCCCUGGAGAAGUGUCUGAAAGAUUCCCUGAGAAGCUCCCUCCAGGAAACGUCCCCUCCAGCCAGAGAGAACGGAGUGCGGCUUCAUCUGACCUUCCAGAAUGCGGCUGCCCGGACUCCAGCAGCACCCACCCGCAAAGCUGUUCUCUUUGACUCGCUCCCUCGUGUCCCUGCUCUGUCACUCGCUCGGUCAGCGUUGUUCAGCUGUGUGCUCGGUCCAGGACUCUGUGGGGACAGGACAGGCCCCACUCUGCCCUCGGGGUGCUCAUGGCUGUGCGCGGUCUGCAUUAUCCGUAUUCCUCCUUGCACCUGGUGGUCAGGGCUCGCCGUAGUUCCUUCCUCCUGCCCAAAGCUCUCUGGUUUUGUGGAUCGUAUCUCAAACAGGUGUAGGUGAGGCAGCAGUUUUCCACUUUUGAAUUUUCCCAAAGAAAACUCCUGAGUCCUGGGCUGUGACUCUUCCUUCCCUGUUUUCUUUUCUCUUAGCUUCAGCCAUCCUGCUUGGUGUCCAGCGUCUGGGGCCAAGGCCAUUUGCACGCUUGGGCCUGUUUGCCCUUUAUGAAUUCAGGUGUUAGAAAGUAAGCCUUGGUGGGGGUGCAAGAGAAGCAGGGCAGGGCCUGGGGGGUCCACCGGCCGGCGUCACGUAGACCCCGUGUCGGGGUGCAGAGCAGGCCAAGGCCCUGCCCACACGAGCUGAGUUCAGCUGGACUUAGGCAGGGCCCCGUGUCCUGUUCAUCGUCACAUCUCAGCUGCCCAGGACCUGUUUGCUGCGUGGAAUGUUAACUGGGACCGUUUGCUUGCUUGCACAGCUAGGGCUGGUAAUAACCUGAAGAUUGUUACGACUAUUAGUGAGACAACUAGUUAGACUGAUGAUCGAACAGAUGUUAAGGAGGACAAGUGCUAUGGAAUAGGAAAUGAGGGCUUGUCUUUAUUCUUGGCAUCGCUUGAAAAGUUUUAUUAUGAAAAAUUUCACACACGUAGGAAAAAAGAGAGACAUUAGUUCAUAUAGUGGUCCCCCUGUGCCCAUCUCCAGCCGUCAAAAUCCUGAGCUUUUGCACCAUUCCCACUUCAUUGGUCCCCCUUCCCUACCUUAAUUCCUGGAGCAUUUAAAACAAAUUCCAGAUGCCACAGCAUUUUCCCAUAAAUACUUAUUUGUGGUUCUAACGGAUACAUUUCCAUUAUCAUACUCAACAAAGUGAAUAAAUAAUUCCCAAAUAUCAUCUUAUACGCAAGCUCUGUUCAAUUUUUACUGGUUGUCUUAAAAAAUGUCUUUUGACAAUUGUCUGUUCCAGUCAGGAUGCAGACGUGACUGACUGACAUGUCUGAGAUCUCUAACCUGUAGCAGGUCACCCCAUCCCCGUGAAGGAGCUGGGCCACUUGUCCUGGAGUUUUCCCGCCUGCACAUCGUAGCCCCCUGGUCUCCCUUGAACAUGUCCCUUUAAACUCAUAUUUCCUAUAACUGGCAGCUAGAGCUAGUUUUGAUUUUUAGAGGAAGACAAGAAUACUCCAUAGAUUAGCCUUGACGUUUUAAAAGUCUGCCUGAUUUUCCUGAAGGAAAAAAUAUUGCUUAGAAACAAGAAUAUAUCUUCCAUUUUCAUUUUCUGUAAUAAAUACACAUAAACUGUGUGGGACGUGCCUCAGGAAUUCACAGCACUUACCUCAUUAAAGUUUAAUUCAUAUUAAUGGGCAGACACAAGCUUUAUUACAGAACUUUGGUAUUUUUCAAUAAUUUGCACGCUGAAGAAAAGAAACAUUUAAUGGAUUGGGACUCUGGAGGCUGGCAGCAGAGCUCACCCAGGGAGGUGCCCGUUUGGUUGGCCUGAGUCUAUGGAGCGUCAGGGCAGGUGCGGUGUGAGCUGGGCCCAGGGCACUGCUGGAGGUGGGCUGUGAGAGGGAGGGAGGACGAGGGAUGGUGGGGGGGGGGGGUGCCCAGAGGGAUGGAGGGGCAUUCAACAGAGGAGGCUGGGAGCAGAGCAGAGAGGAAGGAGAUGGGAUAGGAGGGGCAAGUUCUGCUUGCAGUGGGAGUUGGAGACCCCUCUGAGUCGUUCAGGUCAAGGGAAGGGGGAAUUGAGUGUUUUGCUGACCUGAUGAAUCAUUUCCAUCUAUGAGCUGACAUUUCUGUGUACUGAGUUCCCUUUUAUCAUUUAAAUGAAUAAGGGGAUCAAAUUUCCAGUAAAACGGGUCCAUAGGUCACUCAGGUUAGGGGCAGGAAUUGUCGCUUCACGUUGACAUCCUGGGAAGGCAUGCUGGCUGCUGAAUCCAGACAGACACGCCAGUAAUUCCACCCUGACUUGCACGCUAUGUGAGGGGGGCUGUGCAUAAUCGUGCACCCCACCAGGUCCUGCAGAAGAUGGGGGAGUGUUCAGCGGGGGAGCCUCUGCCCGCAGUGCUUUCUCACAGACACCUGCUGUGUGCUGUUGGCCCGGAGGCUGUCUUCCUGAGACCAGGCCUGCAAGCAGACAGGCUUCCCUUCCAUCUUCAUUCAGGCCACAGACAGGCCUGAAUGUCUUUCACUAGAAGAGAGAACCUUGUAAUUAUUUGUCCUUGUAAAGGCUAAUCUGUUUUAAAAAUCUUUUUUCCCUUGUUGAGUUUAAUAACAACACACACACAUACACAUUCCUACUGCACGAAUUCUGACUUUUCUCAUUAAGUUAAAGUUUAAGGGUACCUGGGGCCUCUGCUGUUCCACAUCAGCCCUCGGGCACUUAUGCAUUCAGUAUCCCCAACACAUCGGAGGGAGGCUGCCAUCAGAUCCCUUCUAGAACCGCAGAUGGUUCCAGAUUUGAAAUGACAGGAAGGGCGCGACGCCUCCUUCUCAGCUGAGGCCCCCCCAUUCAGAACAUAGUGUAUCCACUGCGUCUGCUCCAUCUCGAGGCCGCCUCCCUUGGCACAGUGCCCGGCCCCCAGUCCAGGAAAUGGUGCCAUCUCCCCCUCCAGAACCUCCUGCUUGUCACACACGUAUGAGGGAGCAAUAAGCGGAUCCCAGCGGCAGCAUGAAAGCCGGCACCAGACACUGGGGCUCACACAUUUACUAGGGAGGAACUCAUUUCCUUUGCAGACAUUCUAGCAAGUUCCCUCUUAGAUUAGAGUUCACAGAAGAUUAGAGGAGAGGGGGAAGAGGAGGAAGGGGGAGGAAUGCCAUCAUUCUUAUGACUAGAAAUGUGCUGACUACUCGCCAGGCCCUGGGUAGCCCUUGAGAUGCAGGACCACCUCUCACACCCAUCUUCCAAGCAGGCCUGUGGCUGGCCCUGCUUCAGAGAGCCUGAGAAAUUCAGACUGAGGGCCAGGCUCACGGCUUGCGUGCAGGCAGAGCUGGCUUGAACCAGGCUGGUGACUUCAGAGCCUUCACACCCAGCUCUCCCCGAGCACCAGCAGCGGUUCUGGUACGGUUCUGGCCUGGCCCUGCCUGUCUGCACCUUGGCUCCUGCCCUCUCCUUUGGGACCCAGACCUAGGCUGCUCUCUGUCUCGGGUGUUCCACGCUGCCUCCCUGAGUGGGUCUGCUCAUCUUGUAAUAACUCCUGAGAAGUAAGGGAGGAGGAAAGCUCGUGUAAUUUUUAAGUGUCUGAUGGAAAGGAUAAAGAGCAGCUUCAUGGUGGAGAGACCUGAGGAACACACCUCAGCCAGGUGAUCAAGGUCAACAUCAACGGUGAUGUGUCAUCUUGGUGGUCUCUACCCUCAACAUGAUGUGAUGAGAAUGGCACUUCACCUCUGUGGUCUUUCUUCUGAAAACACGCAACCCCACUCCAAUCACAAGAAGAAUGUCAGACAGACCGCGAUUGCUGGACAUCUGACAAAAUCCUGACCAAUUCUCCUCAAAAUGAUCCAGGCCAUCAAAAACAAGGAAAGUCUGAGGAACUAUCACAGCCAAGAGGAGCCUCAGGAGGUGUGACACCUAGAUGUCAUGUGGAUUCCUGGAUGGGGUCCUGGGACAGCAAAAGGACAUCAGGGAAAAACUGGGGAAACCUGAAUGAAGUCUGGACUUGAGUUAAUGAUAACUCAGACGUACCAUCCUAAUGUAAGAUGUCAAUCGGAGGGGAGGCGGGGUGCAGAGUAUGCAAGAACUCUCUGUAUUAUUUUUAAUAUUUCUGUAAAUCCACAACUGUUCUAAAGUAAAAAGUUUGCAUAAAAAAAUAAGAAUGGAUACUAA